rnacentral:rRNA from 1 species
GAUCAUGGCUCAGGACGAACGCUGGCGGCGUGCCUAAUACAUGCAAGUAGAACGCUGAAGAGAGGAGCUUGCUCUUCUUGGAUGAGUUGCGAACGGGUGAGUAACGCGUAGGUAACCUGCCUUGUAGCGGGGGGAUAACUAUUGGAAACGAUAGCUAAUACCGCAUAACAAUGGGUGACUCAUGUCAUUUAUUUUGAAAGGGGGCGAAAAUGCUCCACUACAAGAUGGACCUGCGUUG